rnacentral:rRNA from 1 species
GACCCCACGAAGCUGGAUUCGCUAGUAAUCGCGCAUCAGCCAUGGCGCGGUGAAUACGUUCCCGGGCCUUGUACACACCGCCCGUCAAGCCAUGAAAGCCGGGGGCGCCUGAAGUCCGUGACCGCGAGGGUCGGCCUAGGGUGAAACCGGUGAUUGGGGCUAAGUCGUAACAAGGUACC